GGGCCCCCGUCAUGUCGACCACCUGCUUCAGAGCCUUUGAAAGCUGCAGCGAGCAUUCGUCCGGUGCCUGUUGGUGGAUAAUCUGAUGUGCAGGCUCAGCAGCAGCAACCAUAGCCAACGCAACAGGCGGCACAGCCAUUAGCUGAACAACAGCAGCCCCGAAUCUCGGCCAAGAUUGCAAGUCCUUUGAACCAGCCCGAAGUGGAGGCAGGAGAAGAACUGUUAUCAUUUAUUCACUCCGCCUCUCAUGGCAAUGACAAACAGCAGCAGCAUCUGACUACCCCGCUGUCGGCUCGCAGUCACUUCCCAUGGUAGGACGAGUCCCAGGCAGAGGCAGAGGCACAGGCUCAGGCACAUGUGAGCUCCCCAUCCCCAUCUGAGAUGCAACAGCAUGAGCAAGAAACGCUACAACAGCAGACGCCGUUUGAAGCGGAUCUCCAGGAGAGCGUAAACGCUUUAAUGGAAGAAGAGGAGCAGCCUCUAGCUCCGCUCUCACCGCUGUCGGAGGCAGAAGAGGAGCAGGGCAAGGGUAGGAUAACAAAUCCAAGAAUUGUGGACGUGCUAAUUGUAUCUGUGCUUAAUUAUUAUUU